rnacentral:rRNA from 1 species
AAUUUUGGAUAAUGGGGGAAACCCUGAUCCAGCCAUCCCGCGUGUAUGAUGAAGGCCUUCGGGUUGUAAAGUACUGUUGCCAGACAAGAAAAGGUAUCUCCUAAUACGAGAUACUGCUGACGGUAUCUGCAGAAUAAGCAACGGCUAACUACGUGCCAGCAGCCGCCGUAAUACGUAGGGUGCAAGCGUUAAUCGGAAUUACUGGGCGUAAAGCGUGUGUAGGCGGAUCGGAAAGAAAGAUGUGAAAUCCCAGGGGUCAACCUUGGAACUGCAUUUUUAACUGCCGAGCUAGAGUAUGUCAGAGGGGGGUAGAAUUCCACGUGUAGCAGUGAAAAGCGUAGAUAUGUGGAGGAAUACCGAUGGCGAAGGCAGCCCCCUGGGAUAAUACUGACGCUCAGACACGAGAGCGUGGGGAGCAAACAG